AUUGAACGCUAACGGCGUGCUUAACACAUGCAAGUCGAGCGGCAGCAUGAUCUGUAGCAAUACAGAUUGAUGGCGAGCGGCGGACGGGUGAGUAAUGCAUAGGAAUCUGCCUUGUAGUGGGGGAUAACCCGGGGAAACUCGGGCUAAUACCGCAUAAUCUCUACGGAGCAAAGUGGGGGAUCGUAAGACCUCACGCUAAAAGAUGAGCCUAUGUUGGAUUAGCUAGUUGGUGAGGUAAUGGCUCACCAAGGCGACGAUCCAUAGCUGGUCUGAGAGGAUGAUCAGCCACACUGGGACUGAGACACGGCCCAGACUCCUACGGGAGGCAGCAGUGGGGAAUAUUGGACAAUGGGCGAAAGCCUGAUCCAGCAACGCCGUGUGUGUGAAGAAGGCCUUCGGGUUGUAAAGCACUUUUAGUUGGGAAGAAAAGCUCAUGGGUAAUAUCCAUGAGUGCUGACGUUACCAACAGAAAAAGCACUGGCUAACUCUGUGCCAGCCGCCGCCGUAA
rnacentral:rRNA from 1 species